GACGAACGCUGGCGGCGUGCUUAACACAUGCAAGUCGAACGAAGAGCGAUGGAAGCUUGCUUCUAUCAAUCUUAGUGGCGAACGGGUGAGUAACGCGUAAUCAACCUGCCCUUCAGAGGGGGACAACAGUUGGAAACGACUGCUAAUACCGCAUACGAUCUAAUCUCGGCAUCGAGGAUAGAUGAAAGGUGGCCUCUACAUGUAAGCUAUCACUGAAGGAGGGGAUUGCGUCUGAUUAGCUAGUUGGAGGGGUAACGGCCCACCAAGGCGAUGAUCAGUAGCCGGGCGGAGAGGAUGAACGGCCACAUUGGGACUGAGACACGGCCCAGACGCCUACGGGAGGCAGCAGUGGGGAAUCUUCCGCAAGGGACGAAAGUCUGACGGAGCAACGCCGCGUGAGUGAUGACGGCCGUCGGGUUGUAAAGCUCGGUUAAUCGGGACGAAAGGCCUUCUUGCGAAUAGGGAGAAGGAUUGACGGUACCGGAAGAGAAAGCCACGGCUAACUACGUG
rnacentral:rRNA from 1 species